rnacentral:rRNA from 1 species
UACGUAGGAUGCAAGCGUUAAUCGGAAUUACUGGGCGUAAAGCGUGCGCAGGCGGUUUUGUAAGUCUGUCGUGAAAUCCCCGGGCUCAACCUGGGAAUUGCGAUGGAGACUGCAAGGCUAGAAUCUGGCAGAGGGGGGUAGAAUUCCACGUGUAGCAGUGAAAUGCGUAGAGAUGUGGAGGAACACCGAUGGCGAAGGCAAUCCCCUGGACCUGUACUGACGCUCAUGCACGAAAGCGUGGGGAGCAAACAGG